AGCUCCGUUCCUUCACUCAGGGACUGACUGUCUCACUGCAUCCAGCAAACUGGAUGGUGCCUGAUGAUUCCUGAGAUGCGUCGAUAAUGAUGGUGAAUGCUGUUAUGGAGUUAAAUGUAGAGAAUAAUUCAUGGACUUCCUGGGGUUGGGCCAUUGGCUCCUGCUGCUUUUGCUACCAAAAUGAGCCUACUGGCUUUCAUACUUUUGCUACCUGCCCGUUCAUGGAAGUAAGCAGGAAGAAGUGGCUCAUGCUGGAACAACCGCAUAGUGUUAAGGAGCUGAGCUACCUCAAUCUAGACCUCGAUUUGCCUCCAUGGCAAGGUGACUAA
rnacentral:lncRNA from 1 species